rnacentral:rRNA from 1 species
AACGCGAAGAACCUUACCUGGGCUUGACAUUUAGGGAAAAGCCGUAGAGAUACGGUGUCCUUCGGGGUCCUAAACAGGUGGUGCAUGGCUGUCGUCAGCUCGUGUCGUGAGAUGUUGGGUUAAGUCCCGCAACGAGCGCAACCCUUGUCCGAUGUUACCAGCGGGUUAUGCCGGGGACUCGUCGGAGACUGCCGGGGUCAACUCGGAGGAAGGUGGGGAUGACGUCAAGUCAUCAUGCCCCUUACGUCCAGGGCUGCACACAUGCUACAAUGGCCGGUACAACGGGCUGCUAUCCCGCGAGGGGGAGCCAAUCCCAAAAGCCGGUCUCAGUUCGGAUUGCAGUCUGCAACUCGACUGCAUGAAGUCGGAGUCGCUAGUAAUCCCGAAUCAGCAACGUCGGGGUGAAUACGUUCCCGGGCCUUGUA